UAUCUUCUUAAACCACCCAUAAGAGCCAUAUUCUGACUUUUUUCUGGCGAAUAUCCAACAAUAGGUUCCAUUGAAUGAAUAAUGGAUCCGGAUCCCAAAAACAAUAAAGCUUUAGAAUAGGCAUGGGUAAUCAAAUGGAAUAAAGCAGCUCGAUAAGAACCUAUACCUAGAGCUAACAUAAUAUAACCCAAUUGAGACAUUGUAGAAUAGGCUAAACUUCUUUUUAUAUCUCUUUGAGCAAGAGCCAAAGUAGCUCCUAGUAGUACUGUUAUUACACCUAUUAAAGAUAUGAAAUUCAUUAUGUAAGGUAUAGCUAUGAAAAUAGGAAGAAGUCGAGCUACAAGAAAAAUUCCUGCUGCUACCAUAGUAGCAGCGUGUAUAAGAGCCGAGAUGGGAGUGGGUCCUUCCAUGGCAUCGGGUAACCAUACGUGAAGGGGGAAUUGUGCGGAUUUAGCAACUGCACCAAUGAAUAAUAAAGAGGCACACAAAGUAGCAAAUAAAGAACUGACACCAUUAUUAUGGAUCAAGUUAUUAGUUAUUUCGAACAAAUCCCGAAAUUCGAAACUACCUGUUAUCCAAUAAAAACCUAAAAUUCCUAAUAAUAAACCAAAAUCCCCUACACGGUUAGUUACAAAAGCUUUUUGACAAGCACUUGCUGCAGUCGGUCGUGUGAACCAAAAUCCUAUUAAUAAAUAGGAACACAUCCCCACCAGUUCCCAAAAAAUAUAAAUUUGUAUCAAAUUGGAACUGGUAACUAAUCCCAACAUGGAAGCAUUGAAAAAACUCAUAUAAGCAAAAAAUCUCAGAUAUCCUUGAUCAUGAGACAUAUAAUUGUCACUAUAAAUAAGAACCAAGAUUCCAACAGUAGUAAUUAGUAUUGACAUAAUAGAACUAAGUGGGUCGAUCAAAUAUCCGAACUCUAAGGAAAAAUCAUUAUUGAUGGUCCAAGACCAUAGAUAUUGAUAGAUAGAACUUCCAUGUAUUUGUUGAAUAGAUAAAUUGGCUGAAAACCCCAUAACUAUACUUAACAGUAAAACACUAGGAAAAGCCCAUAUACGACGAAUAUUUUUUGUUGCUGUCGGAAUCAGUAGAAGUCCAAAUCCUAUUGACACAGUAACUGGAAGUGGAAGAAAAGGUAUUAUCCAUGCAUAUUGAUAUGUAUGUUCCAUAAGAAAACAAAAUGAAAUCUUUAAUAAUUCUACUAUUCUAGUCUAGUCUUAGUAGAAUAUUCUAUUCUGGUAAUUUAUAGCCAUAUUAUAUAGUAUAAUAAGAAAAAAGAGUUAUACCAAAAGGAGUACUUGAUUCUAAUUAUGUUUUAAUAAAAUUAUAUGUUUUAAUAGGUUUAAAAUAUAUUUUCAAACAGGUUUUAAACAUAUUCGAAAAUGCUUUUUUUAAAACUAUUCUACCAGGGAAUAAGUAUAGAUAAUGACUAAAAGGAACAAUCUAUUUUGAACAAAACAAUACAUGUCUUUCACAUACAACGAUAAAAACUGGUAACCCUUUUUGAAUGGCAGUUCCCAAAAAGCGUACUUCUAUGUCAAAAAAACGUAUUCGUAAAAAUAUUUGGAAAAAAAAAGGAUUUUUAGCUGCAGUAAAGGCUUUUUCCUUAGCGAAAUCGGUUUCCACCGGACGUUCAAAAAGUUUUUUUGUGCAACAAACAAAUAAUAAAGUCUUGGAAUAAUCGGAAUUGACAUACCCGAAGAACUUCGAAUUUUUUAAGAUGAACGAUUCACAUUAAUUAAUGUAUUGAACUCCUCAAUAUCAAUAUGAGUUAGAACUAGCUGUUGUAGUAUGUAGAUGUGGUAUGUAGAAUAAAGGUAUGUAUAUCGAAUUCUGAAUAUUUUUUCUAUCUACUUUUUUCACAAUAGAAAAA